rnacentral:rRNA from 1 species
AGCAGCAGUGGGGAAUCUUAGACAAUGGGCGCAAGCCUGAUCUAGCCAUGCCGCGUGUGUGAUGAAGGUCUUAGGAUCGUAAAGCACUUUCGCCAGGGAUGAUAAUGACAGUACCUGGUAAAGAAACCCCGGCUAACUCCGUGCCAGCAGCCGCGGUAAUACGGAGGGGGUUAGCGUUGUUCGGAAUUACUGGGCGUAAAGCGUACGUAGGCGGAUCAGAAAGUUGGGGGUGAAAUCCCGGGGCUCAACCCCGGAACUGCCUCCAAAACUCCUGGUCUUGAGUUCGAGAGAGGUGAGUGGAAUUCCAAGUGUAGAGGUGAAAUUCGUAGAUAUUUGGAGGAACACCAGUGGCGAAGGCGGCUCACUGGCUCGAUACUGACGCUGAGGUACGAAAGUGUGGGGAGCAAACAGGAUUAGAUACCCUGGUAGUCCACACCGUAAACGAUGAAUGCCAGUCGUCGGGCAGUAUACUGUUCGGUGACACACCUAACGGAUUAAGCAUCCGCC